CCCAGUGACUAUAGCGAAGGGGUCCCACCCGUUCCCAUUUCGAACACGGNAGUUAAGCCCUUCNGCGCUGAUGAUACUUCGGGGGCGACCCCGUGGGAAAGUAGGUCGUUGCUGGGU
rfam:Bacterium TMED15 isolate TMED15 149914, whole genome shotgun sequence.